UCUCCGUUGGUGAACCAGCGGAGGGAUCAUUACCGAGUUUACAACUCCCAAACCCCUAUGUGAACGUUACCAAACUGUUGCCUCGGCGGGAAAUUCAUGCCCCGGGCGCGUCGCAGCCCCGGACCAAGGCGCCCGCCGGAGGACCAACCAAAACUCUUUUGUAUGUCCCUCGCGGACUUUUAUAAUUCUGAACCAUCUCGGCGCCCCUAGCGGGCGUUUCGAAAAUGAAUCAAAACUUUCAACAACGGAUCUCUUGGUUCUGACAUCGAUGAAGAACGCAGC
rnacentral:misc_RNA from 1 species